AAGCUCAACCAUGAUUUACUUCACCGAGCCUUGAAUCUCACAUACAAAUUUACACGGCUUUUUGUUAAAGCUGACACAUGCACAAAACCUAAAUGAAAAACAGAAUUGAAACCCUGUGUAGCGCAAUAUUCAAUUGAAAACCUAAUCACGCAAAGAUAAGAAACGUUGCACAAUCCUUGAAGAGACUCGAAUUUAGCCAAACAAUUCCUGAUAGAUUUACAUUACAAGAUGGAUCUGUAUCAUGUUACCUUGAAAGAAUUGGAACUUUGGAGACAAACCAGAAUCUUAAGUAAAAGUUGCAUAGUUUCCAAGAAGUUUUUUUGAAAAGGGAUGGGUACAGCAGGGGAUAGCAUGAUGUAUUUUGGAGACGGCAGUCCAAGGGGGCAAAAUUUAAUCUUAGAUGUUCAUAUAAUGUAUGAAUCAACAUGUUCAUUGAUCCAACAAUAGCAACAAUAAAAAAUAGAAAUUUCUGAGUUCAGUAUUCAAUGUUUUCAUUACAACAAAAGCCUUGAAGGAUACAAAAUCAUAAAUGAAAGUGUAAUGACUAACAUACUUUUCUUACUACUGUAUACUCUCACUUUCUAAUUUUUUGCUCUCCUACAGCUGUAUGCAGUCAUAGAAUUGCUCACUGAUGAAAUGGGUAACAACAGGAUGCUGCCUUUCAACAGGAGUAUGUUAUCAUUUCAUAAUUAUUGCUCUGAGAUGAUCGAAGGAUUUCUUAGAUAUCUCUAGGAUGGUUUGACACCCUGGAGACGUUAGGCAUCCCCUGCUAUUCUAUUGAUGUUUCGACAGGCAAAGAUUUGAGUUACUAGCUAUAUAGAAUCUCAGAUACAAACAAUAUAUUUCUACUUCUGAAAAGUCCUCCUUAAGAUAGAAACUAUAUAUUUUCAAUCUUGAUUCAGAAUAAACUUUACUAUCUUAGUAGGAUCAGUUGUCUUAGUCUUAUAUACCCACUGAGCCCUUGAACCUUCACUUAAACAUAAACAUUCAGCUGUUACUCCAGCAUUAUUACUAAGUUGUUGCUAUUGAACUCUGCAGUAGAUUCUUAUGUGUGGUUAUCAGAAUAUCUAAAACUGUUUUACACAAUAGUAGGAGGAUUCACAUAAUCACUUAAAACUGGUGAUUAUAAAUAUGAUUUUAAAUUAUCAUCGCAGAAGCACAGAUUAUCUGUCACAAGCAAAAAAGGUCAGACAAAUAUGCACAGUGCCUUACCCAAAUUCACGCCCCCCACCCACAACUUUCUAAAUAAUGGGCACGCACCUAUAAUUGUAGGAUGAAAAUCUUAAAAAUAAUAUGUUUUGUUGGGGAUCGGAAAAAUAGGAGAUUUGCAUCAAGAUAUGAUCGUACGAUAAAGUUUAAAGGUGAUUUCAAUUUCUUAACUGUUACAUCUACCUGCUU